rnacentral:rRNA from 1 species
AUUGAACGCUGGCGGCAGGCCUAACACAUGCAAGUCGAGCGGAUGAAGGGAGCUUGCUCCUGGAUUCAGCGGCGGACGGGUGAGUAAUGCCUAGGAAUCUGCCUGGUAGUGGGGGAUAACGUCCGGAAACGGGCGCUAAUACCGCAUACGUCCUGAGGGAGAAAGUGGGGGAUCUUCGGACCUCACGCUAUCAGAUGAGCCUAGGUCGGAUUAGCUAGUUGGUGGGGUAAAGGCCUACCAAGGCGACGAGCCGUAACUGGUCUGAGAGGAUGAUCAGUCACACUGGAACUGAGACACGGUCCAGACUCCUACGGGAGGCAGCAGUGGGGAAUAUUGGACGAUGGGCGAAAGCCUGAUCCAGCCAUGCCGCGUGUGUGAAGAAGGUCUUCGGAUUGUAAAGCACUUUAAGUUGGGAGGAAGGGCAGUAAGUUAAUACCUUGCUGUUUUGACGUUACCAACAGAAUAAGCACCGGCUAACUUCGUG